CGAAAGCCUGACGGAGCAAUACCGCGUGAGGGAUGAAGGAUUUUGGUCUGUAAACCUCUUUUCUCAAGAAAGAAGUUCUGACGGUACUUGAGGAAUAAGCAUCGGCUAACUCCGUGCCAGCAGCCGCGGUAAUACGGGGGAUGCAAGCGUUAUCCGGAAUGAUUGGGCGUAAAGCGCCUGUAGGUUGUUUAUUAAGUCCGUUGUUAAAGCCUAGGGCUUAACCCUAGAAAAGCAAUGGAAACUAGUAGACUAGAGUAUGGCAGAGGUAGAGGGAAUUUCUAGUGUAGCGGUGAAAUGCGUAGAUAUUAGAAAGAACACCGGUGGCGAAAGCGCUCUACUGGACCAUUACUGACACUCAGAGGCGAAAGCUAGGGUAGCAAAAG
rnacentral:rRNA from 1 species